UAUUGGACAAUGGGCGCAAGCCUGAUCCAGCAAUACCGCGUGUGUGAAGAAGGCCUUAGGGUUGUAAAGCACUUUCAAUUGGGAGGAAAACCUGCCGGUCAAUACCCGGUAGCUUGACAUUACCUUUAGAAGUAGCACCGGCUAACUCCGUGCCAGCAGCCGCGGUAAUACGGAGGGUGCGAGCGUUAAUCGGAAUUACUGGGCGUAAAGCGUGCGUAAGCGGUUCGUUAAGUCAGAUGUGAAAGCCCUGGGCUCAACCUGGGAACUGCAUUUGAAACUGGCGGACUAGAGUUUAGUAGAGGGGAGUGGAAUUUCAGGUGUAGCGGUGAAAUGCGUAGAUAUCUGAAGGAACACCAGUGGCGAAGGCGACUCCCUGGACUAGAACUGACGCUGAGACGAA
rnacentral:rRNA from 1 species